rnacentral:snRNA from 1 species
AUACUUACCUGGCAGGGGAAAUACCAUGAUCAUGAAGGUGGUUUACCCAGGGUGAGGCUUAUCCAUUGCACUCCAGGUGUGCUGACCCCUACGAUUUCCCCAAAUGUGGGAAACUCACCUGCAUAAUUUGUGGUAGUAGGAGAUGGUGUUCAUACUCUCCCCUG